CUAACAGCUAGGUCAGAAUGGCCCAGAUGGCAGACAAUUUGUUGAAAUAACCAUCCUGCUUCCCUCAGUCCAAUGAUGCAUCCCCUCUCAAAGUCUGUCAACUAGGCCAAAUGUCUUUGAGUGCAUUGUAGAGGCUUGUAUAUAGCGAUCUUUCAUUG